AGUGAACGCUGGCGGCGUGCCUAAUACAUGCAAGUCGAACGAAGUGGCGCACGGGUGAGUAAUCUAUAGUUAAUCUGCCCUACACAGAGAAACAACAGUUGGAACCGACUGCUAAUACCUCAUAGUGUAGGAUGAGACUAUAUCGUAUCAGCUAGUUGGUAAGGUAAUGGCUUACCAAUGCUAUGAAGCGUAACUGGUCUGAGAGUAUGAUCAGUCACAUUGGAACGUAGACACGGUCCAAACUCCUACGGGAUGCAGCAGUAAGGAAGAGUGCGCAAUUGGGGAAUCCCUGACGCAGCAACGCCGCGUGGAGGAUGUCACUUUUCAGAGCGUAAACUCCUUUUAUCAGGAAAGCGGUACCGGAUGAAUAAGCACCGGCUAACUCCGUGCCAGCAGCCGCGGUAAUAC
rnacentral:rRNA from 1 species